rnacentral:sRNA from 1 species
AAUGAAUCAAGAUAUGCAUCGCUAGUGAACUCAUUUGGCUAAUGACAGGUUAUGAGACAAAGAUGGUCCCUUUUUAGUGGUUCAGAUUUUAAUAGCAGGGGACUCUCAAUAAAAAGGACUUAGCUUUAGAAGAAUGCUAAAGGUAAGUGCCAACCUAUGCAUACAAGAAUAGCACCCCAUCUACCCAAUGACAUAAACCGUGAAUAACAAGUAGAUAGUCCUAUCUCUAAACCCAAUGAUGAUCCUAAGUCUACCCUUUUGCACUAAAGGCAUAUUUCGAUUUUUUCUUGGAUCAACGUUUCCUUUUCUUUUCUUUGGCUCUUGUUCUUAAGGAGAAGCUUUUCUUAAACUCUAUGAGUCUAGUCUAGUGACUUGGGUUUUUCUUAAACUCUUAUGGCUCUUAUCAUUUUUUUUCUUUUUUUUCUUUUUUUUUUUUUUUUUUUUUUUAUUGCCAUCUAUUUCUUUAGAACAUAUCUUAACAAUUCUAUGCUUCCCAAACAUUCACUAGACCACAAUAUGAUUUUCAGCUUCCUUCUCCUAAAGACUCUAACCUAUUUUUUUCUUUCUUUUUCUUUUCACACUCAAUCUCAAUCCCCAAAUAAGUUCCCACCUAGUCCUACCAAGUCCGAAAACGCGGAUUGGAACUACAUGAGAUACUACUCUUGUCGGCUCAAACCUAACACGUUCUACCAAGCUCAAUCCUGAAAAUAGGCCUCACAUGCUCUCACAAAAUAACAUGGCUUGAAAGAAGGGUUGGUUAAGGGUGGGGGAACUACUCCAAUAAUAGAAGCAGCUACUUGGAUUAACAAGAGUGGUGAAUAAGUGAAAGAAAAUCCAAAUAUGUAUUCUAUCCACGAGUUCAAAAACGAUGCAAACAUGAUAAUUAUAAGUCAGAUUCAAGUUCAAAUUGACAGGGAAAGGUGUCAUGACAUGCAUCGAGUGGUUUCUAUAGAACAUGGUGCGGUUUUACUUCAAAGUCAUUCAAAUGCCUCAGAGAACUAAUAACUCAUUUUAGUGAAUCAUCAUGCUUACAAGGCUAUUUCCUCAUUAUCCCCUAUGCAUAUGCAACAAUCCUAUAUGAAACACUCUAGACUUGAUUCUAAAUGUAAUGCAACUAAAUGAUCACUCUGUUUUUGUGGAAUUCAUUUUCAAAAAUUUUCAAAUUUUUUUGUUUUUUUCUAUGACUUAGAUGAUAUGCAGACUCAAAUGAUAUUCACAAAAAACAAGUCAAAUACGUCUUGAACCCUCCCCCAAACUUAAAUUAUGCAGUCCCUUGUGUAAUCAAAAUUUGUGAAAGAAUUCAAGAUAAACACAGAAACAAAAACAAAAGCGAUAUUUACAAAGAGUUUUGGUGUGUUACCUCAGUAGAAUGUCCUGGAGAUGUAGUCAUUCAUAUCUGCUUGAGUGUACUCAGCAGGCAUGACCGGUUCUUGAUGUGGCUCCGUCAUCUCCUCGUCAUUGUGCUCGAUCGCAACCCCAGCAGGUUGUUCAGCACGACGCUCACGUGUUCUCCGCCCCGACAUUAUCCGACCCUUGCUUGAUGAUCGAACCAUCCUAGCGCUCUUCCGCCUCUUGUGCUCCCUGACCUCGUGAGACGAGUGUCGUGCGGGUUCUUGCGGGACAGCGCGUUCUCUCUGUUGAUAAGCAGAUUGCCUUGGCGGGGCAAUGUCAUGACGCCUGGAUGGCAUGUCUUCUGGCGGGUUGUCCCUGGUGAUCGCACUGGUGGAUGUGGUGCAACUGAUUGCCUUCUGCAUGUUGUCAAUGGCCUUGACACACUUAUGGAUGAUCUUGUCUUGAAACUUGCACCACCUUUGGGUUAGAUUGAGCUUCCGGUGUGCUUCAGCGAGACUCUUGCUUUCUCGUGAAGGGGGCUUGUGUUCUUCAAAGUGGUAGCGGCUCGUGUCAUAGUUCUCCCAAUUGGUCUCCUCAUUGUCACUCUGACCUUCUACUUCUUCAGCAUUUCGGGACGCGGAUCCUCCAAUCACAGCAUGGAGGAUUUCUUGUGGUGGCGAGAAGUCGAUGUUGUCUCUCACCGUGAUGGUUGUCAUUUCACUGAAUGGGAGAAGAAAAGUUGCUUCGCCUGUUGACGGGUGAUCAAACUUGAAAGCGUACCUCCCGUCAUAGACCUUAUGUUCGAUCACAUGGGCAAGCUUGAGAUGGGCGAUAUCCAUCCAACGUGGUUGGAUUGGAUCCGGUCGCAGCGGGACGUCGCACGAUAGGAGAAUUGGUGUGACCACUCCUCCAAUGCAAAGGGCUCCUUUCGCGUUCUUUUUGUCAUUGGCCAUUGCCCACCCUCUGUAGCUGGAUAAGUGAUUGAGAAGAUACAUUGACGGUGGUGUGUCAUUGGUAUCUCCCUUCAUCGUUUUCCCGUCCUUGGUGUAACGGAGGAAACUUAGCAGCGCCAGGUCUAACGUCUCCAUGUCUUGGUUCGUCACAGUGGCAGAUAUCUCCCUAGCGUAAGGGACAUUGGCCAUGGCUCUCUGGAAAUAGCGAAUGGCGGGAUUGCAGAUGGAGUUGCUCUUGGAUCUUGCGGAGUUGAAGCUGGUGGUGUCUCCGAUUGUGUUCCUCAAAGAUUUCAAUUCCUCUCGGGCAAACUUCGGUUUCAUUCCCGUGCCACUGGGAAACCCAAACAUGGAUUCCAGCGUCUUGAUCGCCAUGAUAUAGUCGCGGUCGUCGAUGGUGAAGCUUAAGUAACCAAGCCCUUCUUCUCUUAACUCAACAGCUGACAAUCCCUCAAACAAUUCCACUUGAAGUGAUGAAAGGAAUUGAAGUGUCUCAUCCUCAUAGGUAGGAUAGGGAUGAGACAUGAGUGUUGUCAUGUGGCAUUUCUCGAACAAGAGCUGAACGUCUUCCAAGAUGCCUAACUCCGCCAUUGUCUCCGGGUGAGGAUAUCUUGUUCCCCAAAACGGAUUUCUUUUGAGAGCCUUGUAGUAGUCUCCCGGCGUCAGCUUGUCUUCUUUCAUUAGGGACUUGGUGGUCUUGCGGGUUUGCUCUGGAAUGUACUCCGCAUCAUCUUCCAUCUCUUCAUCAAUUAGCUCAUAAUUUUCCGUCAUUGACCUCUUCCCUCUGGCUAUCUCUUCUCUUCUCCUGUCAUUGGCGACUGCUCGCUCUGUUUCCUCCACAAAUCGCCUAUACUCAUCUGCUUCUCUCUUUGGCCUAGUUGACCAAGAUUCAACAUCAUCAACAUUGUAGUCGGCAUCCAUAGAUGAUUCGUAGCUGUGUGAACUCAUCUUGAAGCUGAAAUCGAUUUGAAACUCACAACUAAAGCUCAGUAGGUUAGUGAGAAACAAACAAAGACAAUGAAAGAAAUGACUUCCUAUUGAUAUAGAGUUGUGAUCGAGUAGAAUUUGAUAGUGAGAGCUCAGGUCGCGAUCGAGUGAAGCAAGCAAAUGAGAGACAGGGUUGCGAUAGAGUAGUUUCUGAGGUUCUGUUUUAGUCAAUAACAGCUAGCAACAACGAAAGAGUUGAGAGCGUUUUUGGUAGUGAAGUAGAGAGAUAAACAAGAGAGAUGUUUUGAAAUCACAAGUGAUGAAGAAAAGUGAAGAGUGAUGACACUUAUCUCCCUUUGCGAUUUGAAUGAGUGGAGGAGGUGUGUUGCUUUUAAACGGACGGAUGGGAUGCAAUGCCCGUUAUGAUGUCGGCAACGUGAUAAGGUGACAAAACAUGGUGCUUUAUGUCGGCAGGAUGGGGUUCCUUCAAGUCACGCGCCUUGUGAUCGAGUAUGGGUUGUUGAUCCUUUAAUUUCGUGUCAUGGGCUACAAUUGGACACAGCAUGGGCUUUUUGGAGUUUUGGUGGAGAUUGAAAUCCAGUAGGCUUAAUGGGACUGAGGUUUGUCAUUGACGUUCUGUGGACACUUUCACUCCUCCUUGCGAUCUAGUAGAAAAUUGUUAUCCCGAAUCUACUAUAUCGCACUCCUGAGCUUUCACUCCUAUGUUGUGAUCGAGUAUUUGAAAAAAAAUUUGGAAAAUUUUCAUUUUAACACUCGAUCACAUCCUUGUUGAUCACUCCAGCUGUUAUUCAUUUCCUGAGAAUCAAAGACACAACCAAAACGAAUCAAAAGUAACAAAUAAAUAAAAAGUAUAUACAGGGAUAGUCAUGGGACUUCCUCCCAAGUGAGCUUGUUUAGAGUCUCUAGCUUGACUCCUCACACUAAUCAAGUGGAGAAAAUGUGACAGAGGGAACUUGAGAAGUCCUCCUCUUCACUGAUAUCAUCAUCAUACUCAGCAUCCUCCCUUGACAGUUGCACAGCUGAGUACUCAAUUCUUCUUUCCUCAUAGUAUGCUGCUUCCUCCUCUGGAGGGUAGUCUUUCUCUUCUGACCAAUCCCAGGUGAUCUCCUUUCUUGAAAUCGUGUCAUGGUUGAGCUGGGGCUGAACCUCCUUUUGCAUUCGACUUAGUUUGUCUCUAAGCUUUUCAACAGUGUAGCUCAGCUUCUGAAUGGUUCUGUUCUAUAGAUCAGUCUUCCUUUUGAGUUCCAGCCAAUCAAGUGAGGAGGGUAUACUCGAUCGAGUAGUCGAGUUCGAUGGCGGAGUUUGAACCGAAAUUUGCUCCUUCCCUCUUUUGAUCUCAAGGCCUUCACUUGGAUCCGCUCUCUGGACCUCUAAGGUUUUUCCUUCUAUUGGUGGCCUUGUCGGAAAUUUGUUGAUGUCAAACUGUAACUUGACAUGCCUCCCAAGGUUGAGAUCAAUCUUACCAUAUCUGACAUCUAUUACUGCUCCCACUGAGGCUAAGAAAGGUCUUCCUAAGAUCAAAGGAUCCUUAGACUCUUCAUCCAUUUCAAGCACGACAAAAUCAGUGGGUACCUCAACUCCAUCUAUCAUUACUGGUACGUUCUCUAGAAUGCUGAAAGGUCUCCUUGAAGUUCUAUCAGCAAGGAUCAAAGUGAUGUCACAGGGCUUAUACUGAAUGAAUCCCAGCUUCCUUGCCACAGAGAGUGGCAUUAAACUGACUGAGGCUCCUAGAUCACAUAGACAAUUGUUGAAAGUCAAUUGCCUAAUCGAACAUGGCAGAGUGAAAGAUCCAGGAUCUUCCAGCUUCUCUUGAAUAAUCCUCUCACCAGCGGCUUGAUGCAUAAUGACAUCGUCUUCGUCAUCUGAAUCCUGAUAUAUGUUGAGCCUUUCCAGUAUCAGGUUUCUCACAUCUUUGUGAGGGUCUGAAAUCAACUUGAGAACUUCUACUAAGGGCAUCACAGCUUCCAUCUCACCAAGUUGUUUUUCUGCCAGAGAUUCAUAUCUGCUUUUCCAAGCUUUCCUGAACGUCCAUGGAAGAGCAAGUGAGGGUGAUGGAGCUGGCUUGAAUCGUUUCACCAUCCUCUCGAUUAUAGCAGCCUUCUCCUCCAAGUCAGACUGAGCCUGAAAGAAAGGUUGAGCUGAAUAGUCGAUCUCAGCAACAGAGACUUCAAUCUGAGUGGAAGCCUCCCCUUCUUGAAUUACGCUGUCCUCAGUGUUUGAUGUAGAGACAUGUUGAGUUGGCAGGCUCUCGCUCAUGUCUGAUAGUGAUUGCGUGUGCAGUGGCGUACUCCUUAGGGUUUUGGAUUGCUUUUCCUGGAAGCUGGCCUGGGUUGUUUGUAACAGGUGGUGAAGUAGUGACGCCGUCCAGAUACCGUACCCUUGUGUUCAAUGAUUCCAACCUGCUACUCAGUUCAUUGAACUGUCUGUCAACUUUGUUGUUUAAGUCAGCUAUCUUCUUAGCAGAUUCCCAUUACCCCUGCGGCUUGACCUUGCAUGAUCUGUUGGAGCAUAUUCUUGAUGUCUGAUUCCUGGGGUGCAGAGGCCUGAUGUUGUUGUGGUGUGAAACCAGGUGGUGGCUGUUGCUGUUGAUACCCUCCUUGGAACUGUUGCUUAGGAACGAACCCUAGGCUUUGGUUGUAAGUAACAAACGGUUUGGGUUGGUUCUGCUGCAGCUGCUGUUGAAGGUAAACUUGGUCCUGAGGAUUGGCGACAUUUGUGCUUCUGUAUGACAGAUUUGGGUUGGGUCUGUAAUUGUUGUACCCUUUGUUGGAGCCGCCUUGGUUCUGAACAUAACUGAUUUCAGCGCCCUGAUCAUUCUCCCCCUCUUGGAUUUGGAAUACUUCGUCUUCAGAGGCGAAGUGAACAUGCUUCUGCUGCACUUGGAGGAGUUUGUCGAUUUUGUCAUGGAGAGCUUUAAUCUCUCGGCGGUGCUUGUCAUCAGAUUCAGUACUGGUGCAGAUGCUUCUGUCAUAAUCCUCAUUGUAAUUGCCAUCCGACUGAGCCAAGUUUUCAACUAGCUCCCAUCCGUCUUCGACAUCCUUGUUCAGGAAAUUCCCGUUGGAGGCGGUGUCAAGGAGCAUACGUAUCUUAGGCAGGACGCCUCUGUAAAGUGUGCUGAGAAGAGAUGCUUCCUUAAAUCCGUGAUGAGGGCAUUUGGUUGGAUAACCCUUAAAGCGCUCCCAAGCUUCACAGAAGCUUUCAUUUUGCUUCUGAGUGAAUCCGGAUAUCUCGUUCCGGAGUCUUGCAGUCCUGGAGUUGGAGAAGAAUUUUGCCAAGAAGGCCUUUUUGCAGUCAUCCCAGGUCGUGAUUGAUCCAUGGGGUAGCGUUUUUUCCCACAGAUGGGCUUUAUCUCCAAGUGAAAAUGGGAACAAGCGAAGCUUGAAACCAUCUUCACUAACUCCAUUGAUUUUAGUAAGGCGACAGAGCCU